GUCCUGCGGACCUCUAUCGUCUGGAGUGGGAACUAAUUUACAGACGGGGUUGGCUGGCUGACAGUUUGCUCCGGCAACAGCUCAGUCUAUGGGGAUCGCAGUUCUUGUCAGUAAACUAGACCUCGAUAAAGUGGACAAAAAACUAAAAUAUCUAUGGCCAGCGGGAGGAUAAACAAAGGAACACAACAUCGAGUCAUCUGGUAGUGAAUUAAAUUCUUUUCGGUCUGAACUUGAUUAGUUACUUGGGCACGUUUGGUUGUUUAUUGUGCCUGGAGAAAUUCCCUCCCCACCAUGGUUGACCAGACGGACAUGAAUGCUGAAUGCGGCUGUUAAAUUCUGGCUUUUCCCAAUAUGUAAUAUUAAGGACAAACAAAGGAAAGUGUCGCCUAAAAAACAGAAACGACAACGCUAGAACACAUUGAAGGAUGGUCACCUAACCCAGAGUUGAGCUCAAUUCGGAGUCCUAACCACCUGUACCUCAACGACAAGGUAAAUAAAAAUCAAUAUAAAUCGCCUUUGUUCACUCCUUUUUCCUUUUUAAUACCUCUUCUUUCUUUUCAUGAAAUAACAACCCGGAAUUUAAUUAUUUGCUGGUCGUCCGUCUGUCUGUCCGAAGUCUCAGAGUACUUAUGUCUAUUGGGAACUAUACCAGCGCAUGCCGUACUGCCUAUGCGUUUAUACAGCGCCUCCCUCGUUGGACUUGGACAGCGAAGAGUGUGACUCCCGUUUAGCUUUAAGUAGAUUUAGUUAUAGUUGUACUUUUAGUUCAUAUGUUAACUGUUAAUAUGAACCUCUGUUUUAAAUCCAAAGGUAUUAUCUCAUAAUAUUUGUCUUAUAUUCGUUUUAACUUAACUUCAAACCAAAAUAUUGUUUGUAUUUCUAUAUUUGUUAAUCUAAGGAGAUUUAAAUGUUCAAUUGUUCUCCUUUUUGUAUUCUUUAAAUUCUCAGUUCAAUUUAUAUGCAUAUGUGACUUGUUGCACAUUGCACUCAAUAAAAAUUACAGUGCACCAACAACUUCAAAUUUGUUCUUUGGGGAUUUUGGGAGGUCACACGUCCAGUCUUCUUCGUGGAUGUUGUAAAAAAGGACCAUCAUCCUACCUUUUUUUUGACAAAUCAUUUCUCCUGCCAUAUUGUUAUCUUUCCUUUAUUUCCCCUCUAUGACAUUUUACAACUGUUAUACAAACAGCUGUUCUUGGUGUAUGAUAUCAAUUAUUCUUCUUCUUAUUUUUUUAAAAAUUAACCCUACAAGGCGCACACCACAAACCCCACUAUCCUGCCGAUAUCAUUAUCAAAGGAUAGGAGGGAAAAAGGUGCGACAUUUGAGAAUGAAAAAUUAAUGUAACUAUAUAUAUUUAAUUUGGUACUAAAUAAGAAAAUCCGUGUUCGGCAUCCCUACGAAUUCUAAUUUGGCAUCCCUAAAGCUAAUUUUUCAAGUUUCCGAGGAAAAUAUUCUGUUGGAACAUCAUGCAAUCUUUACCCUAGUGUAAACCUAGCGUUAUCUAUAUUAGUUACCUCUCGGGUAAACAUGGCAUAAUGCAUACGUCAUACGUUACGCUUUUCCCAUUAGGCGGACUACAAAAUAUGCCAAUGAAUGGAACGUUUAUGAAUGGGUAGUGGCAUACCAUGGGUAGUGGCUUCUUUGCAAAAGAAAAAUUGGCGCGUUGUGGACGGACUUCUUCGGUGUUGCAGAAAAUUAAAAAGAUCGGAAUGAAGAUUUGGCCUGUUAGAAUUCGUGCGCCUGUCUUCCCAGUGAAAGCAACAAUGCAGUUAUUUUGCGACCGCCAUCAAUCAAAACCCAAAUUUUGUGAAUGAAAAAGUGUUUUUAUCUGAAUUUAAAUAUUUAAGGCAAAUAAAAUCCGACAAUAUUCAAAAGAAAAUCAAGUUGUAAAAACGUUAUGAAUCCAAAACACUAUAUUUAAACCAAAAUAAAGUGAGUUUCGACAAGAAUGACGAGGUUUUGAAGACGUGGAGCACAUUGAUUUUAUCAAUCAAGUAAAUCUUUGCUCCAGUAUUGCGUUGGAAAGGCACAAUAGAGGAGCGUUGCCUCAAGACCAGCUCUGCCUUCAUUUUAAAUAAACCACUGGUGUUUCUAUGACUCUUGAUAAGGUAAAUUAUGCGGAAUGCCGAAACAAUUUUUUAUCUAUAGGGAUUCGAAAACGUAGAUCAUUCACAGAUGGCUCGUUGUACUUAAAAUGAACAAAACUGGGAUCAGCUUGCUACCUAACGGACAUUAACUCGAGGACACUGGAUUGCACAUUUCGAAUAUGCACCUUUCCAGGACUCUCAAGUCGGGGCAUGCAUCGUUUACAAUACCUUAGGCGGACGGACAGAAUCGUCGCUACCGAUCUACUGUUCUAACAAGCUAGCAAACCGUGACUUACGAUUCUUCCAAUCGGAAACAACAUCGCCACCUUCCCAACCCCAUCCUACCCCUGUCGGCCGGAUACCUUGCCCAACAGCGCGACUUACGACAAAUCUAAUGCCGGGACUAAGGUGUCCGAACCUAAAGACGUAGGACAGCGUAAGGAGUGGCACCAAAAAAAUGAAAUUGGACACCUGAUUUCUCAGGCCCCAUGUUGCGGGCGCCAUUUUUGUCCUGUCCUGCGGACCUCUAUCGUCUGGAGUGGGAACUAAUUUACAGACGGGGUUGGCUGGCUGACAGUUUGCUCCGGCAACAGCUCAGUCUAUGGGGAUCGCAGUUCUUGUCAGUAAACUAGACCUCGAUAAAGUGGACAAAAAACUAAAAUAUCUAUGGCCAGCGGGAGGAUAAACAAAGGAACACAACAUCGAGUCAUCUGGUUGACCAGACGGACAUGAAUGCUGAAUGCGGCUGUUAAAUUCUGGCUUUUCCCAAUAUGUAAUAUUAAGGACAAACAAAGGAAAGUGUCGCCUAAAAAACAGAAACGACAACGCUAGAACACAUUGAAGGAUGGUCACCUAACCCAGAGUUGAGCUCAAUUCGGAGUCCUAACCACCUGUACCUCAACGACAAGGUAAAUAAAAAUCAAUAUAAAUCGCCUUUGUUCACUCCUUUUUCCUUUUUAAUACCUCUUCUUUCUUUUCAUGAAAUAACAACCCGGAAUUUAAUUAUUUGCUGGUCGUCCGUCUGUCUGUCCGAAGUCUCAGAGUACUUAUGUCUAUUGGGAACUAUACCAGCGCAUGCCGUACUGCCUAUGCGUUUAUACAGCGCCUCCCUCGUUGGACUUGGACAGCGAAGAGUGUGACUCCCGUUUAGCUUUAAGUAGAUUUAGUUAUAGUUGUACUUUUAGUUCAUAUGUUAACUGUUAAUAUGAACCUCUGUUUUAAAUCCAAAGGUAUUAUCUCAUAAUAUUUGUCUUAUAUUCGUUUUAACUUAACUUCAAACCAAAAUAUUGUUUGUAUUUCUAUAUUUGUUAAUCUAAGGAGAUUUAAAUGUUCAAUUGUUCUCCUUUUUGUAUUCUUUAAAUUCUCAGUUCAAUUUAUAUGCAUAUGUGACUUGUUGCACAUUGCACUCAAUAAAAAUUACAGUGCACCAACAA